GCGCAACAAAUAAUAAUAAUUAUUCUUCCAACAUAAAAUAAACAACUUUACAUGCUAAAAAAAAACAUAUCUACCAACAAUAAGUUUAAACAAGACAUGGGUAUUGUUUUUCAAGUAAAGAUCUAAAUUUUAUCCAAAAUAAUCAAAGAAUAAAGUAAAAAAAAAGAAACAAUCAAUAUUAUCUAUUCUUUGCAACAUAAA
rnacentral:lncRNA from 1 species